AGUGAACGCUGGCGGUAUGCCUAACACAUGCAAGUCGAACGGCAGCACAGUAAGAGCUUGCUCUUACGGGUGGCGAGUGGCGGACGGGUGAGGAAUACAUCGGAAUCUACUUUUUCGUGGGGGAUAACGUAGGGAAACUUACGCUAAUACCGCAUACGACCUACGGCUGAAAGCAGGGGAUCUUCGGACCUUGCGCGAUUGAAUGAGCCGAUGUCGGAUUAGCUAGUUGGCGGGGUAAAGGCCCACCAAGGCGACGAUCCGUAGCUGGUCUGAGAGGAUGAUCAGCCACACUGGAACUGAGACACGGUCCAGACUCCUACGGGAGGCAGCAGUGGGGAAUAUUAGACAAUGGGCGCAAGCCUGAUCCAGCCAUACCGCGUGGGUGAAGAAGGCCUUCGGGUUGUAAAGCCCUUUUGUUGGGGAAGAAAAGCAGCAGGUUAAUACCCCGCUGUUCUGACGGUACCCAAAGAAUAAGCACCGGCUAACUUCGUG
rnacentral:rRNA from 1 species